CCUACGGGUGGCUGCAGUGGGGAAUAUUGGACAAUGGGCGAAAGCCUGAUCCAGCCAUGCCGCGUGUGUGAAGAAGGCCUUCGGGUUGUAAAGCACUUUCAGUGGGGAAGAAAGCCUUGGGGCUAAUACCCUCGAGGAAGGACAUCACCCACAGAAGAAGCACCGGCUAACUCCGUGCCAGCAGCCGCGGUAAUACGGAGGGUGCGAGCGUUAAUCGGAAUUACUGGGCGUAAAGCGCGCGUAGGCGGUCUGAUAAGCCGGUUGUGAAAGCCCCGGGCUCAACCUGGGAACGGCAUCCGGAACUGUCAGGCUAGAGUGCAGGAGAGGAAGGUAGAAUUCCCGGUGUAGCGGUGAAAUGCGUAGAGAUCGGGAGGAAUACCAGUGGCGAAGGCGGCCUUCUGGACUGACACUGACGCUGAGGUGCGAGAGCGUGGGUAGCAAACAGGAUUAGAUACCCUUGUAGUC
rnacentral:rRNA from 1 species